UCUUAUCAGACGAUACUUAGUCACUUCCCCCCUAUAUAUAAACUACCCGUUACCGAGCUCUUAAGACCAGUUACAGCCCCGCUCCUGUGCCGGGUUACUAAUCUAAUAAACAGUGACUGGUUAUAUACUGGAAAUGGUACGGUCCAGGAGGACCCGUAACCGAGUGAUGAAGACGGGUGCAGAUGGACAGGGCGUGAUUGACAGGCGGGACAGGAGCGACCGCAUGGUGGCUACCGUCAGUGACAGUAGUCAGGAAGAGACAGUGAGGGAACGAGCCCCGGUGACCCCAGGAGAGGGUCGGGUCACCCCUGGACACAACCCACAAGGACGGACGACCAGGGUGGAGAAGAUACAGCAGGUGGCAGGUGGUGCAGGGGACGUCAACACAUCGCAGGUGGUGGCAGGUGGUGCUGGGGACGUCAACACAUCGCAGGUGGUGACCUUCCUGGUGGUCAUCCACCUGGUCAUUGUCGUCCCUCUGGCACUUCACUACAUCCCGUCUGGACGCAACGGCAUCUUCUAUUAUUACUACAACAGGACGGAGGGCGAGAGCUACGCCCUGUGGCCGCAGGAGGCGGAGAUGGGACGGCUGCCCAUCACGGCCGCCACCCACGCUAUCUUUAUCAUCCACGGCUUCAGCGAGUCCUCCCACAGACCCUGGAUAAAGAGACUCACCCACGCACUGCUGGCAGCGAGAGUGGAGGAGGAGCGAGUGGUGGUGGUGGUAGACUACUGGGACUUCCACAGCCUAAUCUACCCCCGCGUGAGGAAGAACGCCAGCAAGGUGGCGUCGCUAGUCGCUCAACUCAUCGACACUCUUGUCAUUCACAACAACCUACAGCUCGCAAAAACACACCUGAUUGGUUUCAGCCUUGGAGGCCGGAUUUCUGGGAUGGUGGGAGACAGGAUCACCACUGGCAAAGUGGCCAGGAUUACAGGUAUAGAUGCAUCAUAUCCUUGGACACCACCUAAGACCAAGGACCAGUUUUUAGAUGCUGGCGAUGCAUCUCUCGUGGUCAACAUUCGAACGUCCCCUGUAGGAUCGCACGCUCCUCCAAGCCACAUUGAUUUUUACGCUAAUGGAGGACUCUCUCAGCCAGGAUGCGAUGACUGGUAUUUCCCUUACUUAGUCCAGCAAGUCUGUAAUCAUUACCGCUCGGUUGCCCUUAUGAUAGAGGCCGUGAAGCACGCAGAUGACAGGGUGUUCCCUGCUUGUGGCUGUCCUGAUUGGGAGAGCUUUAAAAACCACACCUGUGACUGUCAGACUGUUAAUAAUUUUGGCUUGUAUCCAAAUACCAGGAACCCUCACUCCUCAAAGAAGAGGAUAUGCAGCACCCAGGGAGGAGCCUUGUCGAGCUCCCGUGUGAUCUGUAUAUGUAUGUAUAUACAGGUGAUGGAUGAUGAUGGUAGCGACUUGUGAAGGUGGAGCUCAUACCCUCUUUGACCCUCCUGCCGACCCACCAAUACUGUACUUCUGACACCCCUAUCAAUCUUGCCGAGAGGUGCUUGCUGGCCCCCUAACAUCUUCAGUAGCUUUCCAGCCUCGCCUUUAUUGAUGGGUGCAACACCUUGUCUGGUGAUGGGUGGCAGAGGGCCCCUCCUGCUGUGAGCCGAGGGAGCGCACCUGUGGCUCGUCGCUCCUUUAAAAAACAACAAACCCUUCAUGGAAGGUUCGCAGAGUGUCCAGUAUUGGACAUAACUGGGAUAAAUUUCACUCUAACCAAGCACUUAUGGCAUCACUAGAAACCUGACUGAGAUGAGCUGGUUUAGCCAGCCUUUUCAAUACGAUAUAGCCGUGUCGGCCUCCGCUCACUGUGAAUGCGGCCAGGGUGCAGGCCCUAAAGCUGGCCGGGAAGUGAAGGAGGCCG
rnacentral:misc_RNA from 1 species